rnacentral:rRNA from 1 species
GUGCCAGCCGCCGCGGUAAUACCGGCAGUCCGAGUGAUGGCCGAUCUUAUUGGGCCUAAAGCGUCCGUAGCUGGCCGCACAAGUCCAUCGGAAAAUCCACCCGCCCAACGGGUGGGCGUCCGGUGGAAACUGUGUGGCUUGGGACCGGAAGGCGCGACGGGUACGUCCGGGGUAGGAGUGAAAUCCCGUAAUCCUGGACGGACCGCCGAUGGCGAAAGCACGUCGCGAGGACGGAUCCGACAGUGAGGGACGAAAGCCAGGGUCUCGAACCGGAUUAGAUACCCGCGUAGUCC